UAGAGUUUGAUCCUGGCUCAGGACGAACGCUGGCGGCGUGCCUAAUACAUGCAAGUCGAGCGGAUGACGAGGAGCUUGAUCCUCUGAUUCAGCGGCGGACGGGUGAGUAACACGUGGGCAACCUGUCUGUAAGACUGGGAUAACUCCGGGAAACCGGGGCUAAUACCGGAUAGGUGAUGUCUUCGCAUGAAGAGAUCAGGAAAGAUGGCUUCGGCUAUCACUUACAGAUGGGCCCGCGGCGCAUUAGCUAGUUGGUGAGGUAACGGCUCACCAAGGCGACGAUGCGUAGCCGACCUGAGAGGGUGAUCGGCCACACUGGGACUGAGACACGGCCCAGACUCCUACGGGAGGCAGCAGUAGGGAAUCUUCCGCAAUGGACGAAAGUCUGACGGAGCAACGCCGCGUGAGCGAAGAAGGUCUUCGGAUCGUAAAGCUCUGUUGUUAGGGAAGAACAAGUACCGUUCGAAUAGGGCGGUACCGUGACGGUACCUAACCAGAAAGCCACGGCUAACUACGUGCCAGCAGCCGCGGUAAUACGUAGGUGGCAAGCGUUGUCCGGAAUUAUUGGGCGUAAAGCGCGCGCAGGCGGCUUCUUAAGUCUGAUGUGAAAGCCCGCAGCUCAACUGCGGAGGGUCAUUGGAAACUGGGAAGCUUGAGUGCAGAAGAGGAGAGUGGAAUUCCACGUGUAGCGGUGAAAUGCGUAGAGAUGUGGAGGAACACCAGUGGCGAAGGCGGCUCU
rnacentral:rRNA from 1 species